GUGAAUCAUCAAAUUUUUGAACGCAAAUUGCACUCUCUGGUAUUCCGGGGAGUAUGCUUGCUUGAGGGUUAUUUUGUUGCAAUCGUAAAAAAAUAUUUUUACUGAUCGGGAUUUUCCUAUAGGUGUUUUUUGGGUAAUCUAGAAUUUAUUAUAACAAUAGUUGUUGUUGGAAAGUUUUAUUUUUUUUUUAUUAACAAUUAUUAUCAAGUGCGUAUCGUCUUUUUAUUUUCCUAAUUUCUUAAUUAGGUAAAAGUAAUACAAUUUUUCUUUUGUAAUCUGACCUCAAGUCGAGUAAGAAUA
rnacentral:misc_RNA from 1 species